rnacentral:tRNA from 1 species
AAAUCCUUUUUUCCCCAGUUCAAAUCCGGAUGUCCCCU